AUUCAUGAAAAGGAACAAUUUAAGUGAGCCCAAUUUUAACUACAACGCAUUCUCUCGACCAAUUUGCAUGCAUAAAAAGCAGAAUGUAGCUCUGGAAUCCUCUUCAUAAAUCAUGGUCUUGUGAGGAUGGAUAAGCUUCUUUUUAUCCUUUUUAUUAUUAUUGCACCUCUCAGGCAAAGAUUUGAAUGUGUCCUCCCAACCAACGCAAUCCAAUAUUAAAGGACACAAGAUAGUUUAAGAUUAUAAACAUUGAGUAAUGCAAGGGAUACCAGCACCCUUCUACUAACUCAUCGCAUCCAUGAUACAAUAAAGAUAAAGGUUUUAAAUAAUAGUGAUUUGACUUUCAAGUAUUUAACCAGAUACUUAUCACUACAAAAUUAGAAAAAAUAAUAUAGUACCUAUCAUCAACCACCACAUCAGUUCAUAAAAAAAAAUGCUUGCAGAUGUUUUAGUGUCUCUAGUAUUAUUCAUCACCCUAAGAAAUCCCUAUGAGAUCAAAGAAACCUGACUGUAUGUGUUGACUACAAGCGAUGGCAUAAAACUAUGCUGAAGUUUACAGCCAGUUGAUCAGAAUGUGUCUUUCUUGGCUAACACAUGAAAUGAGAAAAAGAUAAAAACCAUUAAAUCCUUAUAUCAAAGAGCUACUAUACAAAAAGAGAGAGAGAGAGACGGACAGACAGAAAGAAA